rnacentral:lncRNA from 1 species
AAUUAUAAACAUCCAUGACAUGCAAAAAAUAAUAAAAAUAAAAUAAAUAAUUUUUUGUGGUCCAUUUGUAAAAUCUUAUUCUAAUCUAUUACAACAAAAUAGAAAAUAAUAAAAAAGAAAAAAAAAAUGAAAAUCAGGGCUGAAAACAGCCAUAUUAACGCAUUGGGCCGCAAGAAAAUGAGUUUGGGCCCAAAAAAGGAACCCAAAAACACGCAGCCCAGCAUUCCAGCCCAAAAAUCGGACCAAGAAACUCCUGACCCGCGAACCUGUAAUACCCCGC